rnacentral:rRNA from 1 species
UGGGGAAUAUUGGGCAAUGGGGGAAACCCUGACCCAGCGACGCCGCGUGAGGGAAGAAGGUUCUCGGAUUGUAAACCUCUGUUCUUGGUGAAGAGAAGAAGACGGUAGCCAAGGAGGAAGCCCCGGCUAACUACGUGCCAGCAGCCGCGGUAAUACGUAGGGGGCGAGCGUUGUCCGGAAUGAUUGGGCGUAAAGGGCGCGUAGGCGGCUGAUUAAGUCUGGAGUGGAAGUCCUAUUUUUAAGGUAGGAAUUGCUUUGGAAACUGAUCAGCUUGAGUGCAGGAGAGGUUAUCGGAAUUCCCGGUGUAGCGGUGAAAUGCGUAGAGAUCGGGAGGAACACCAGUGGCGAAGGCGGGUAACUGGACUGCAACUGACGCUGAGGCGCGAAAGUGUGGGGAGCAAACAGG